UAAGAUUAUAUUUUAGUGUAAGAUGCACAAAAAUUUUUGAUAUUUUAAGAAAUAGUUUAAUUCUAUUAAAUAUAA
rnacentral:tRNA from 1 species